UAAUAGUGUUUCAUGGCACUUUUUAAAUCCAUAUCCACCUUGUGUGCAAUGUCAGUCGAUCUUCUUCAUGGAGAUCGACCAAACAUCAACCUUUAUUUUUUAACUCUUUGUCUGAAAAAUAUUAUGAAUAAACAAUUCAAAAUA
rnacentral:misc_RNA from 1 species